rnacentral:rRNA from 1 species
GAUGAACGCUGACAGAAUGCUUAACACAUGCAAGUCAACUUGAAUUUGGGUUUUUAACUUAGGUUUGGGUGGCGGACGGGUGAGUAACGCGUAAAGAACUUGCCUCACAGCUAGGGACAACAUUUGGAAACGAAUGCUAAUACCUAAUAUUAUGAUAAUAGGGCAUCCUAUAAUUAUGAAAGCUAUAAGCGCUGUGAGAGAGCUUUGCGUCCCAUUAGCUAGAUGGAGAGGUAACGGCUCACCAAGGCGAUGAUGGGUAGCCGGCCUGAGAGGGUGAUCGGCCACAAGGGGACUGAGACACGGCCCUUACUCCUUCGGGAGGCAGCAGUGGGGAAUAUUGGACAAUGGACCGAGAGUCUGAUCCAGCAAUUCUGUGUGCACGAUGAAGUUUUUCGGAAUGUAAAGUGCUUUCAGUUGGGAAGAAACAAAUGACGGUACCAACAGAAGAAGUGACGGCUAAAUACGUG